UGUUUUACCAAGUCUCUGUGAUGCCAACUAUAUUAUAGUUGUGUUUAUUAACUAGUAUUUCAAGUUCUUCCUGCUUAUUCCACAUGCUUCUCGCAUUAGUAUACGGACAUCUAAGAUACUGCUUUGAUUUCUCCCCUAUGU